ensembl:lncRNA
GCUCAUUAACCCCCCACCCCAGAGCCCCUAAUUAGCGGGGACUCAUUAUCCCCCCGGAGCCCCUAAUUAACAGGGGCUCGUUAAUUACCCCCGUGCUGCCCGCAGAGUGACGCCCCCCCCCGAAACCCCCCGCGGAGUGGGGGAGGGGCCGAGGACCCCCGCGGGCGGCGUGUGGGGAAAUGGGGGAUUUGGGGCAAUAAACGCAGAUUUUGGGGCCGGCGACGAUUUGGGGUCGUUUGUUGGGGUUUUGGGGUCGGUUGGUGGGAUUUUGGGGUCAGCUGUUCGGAUUUUGGGGUCAGUCGUUGGGGUUUUGGGGUCGGUUGGUGGGGUUUUGGGGUCGGUUGGUGGGAUUUUGGGGUCAGCUGUUCAGAUUUUGGGGUCAAUCGUUGGGGUUUUGGGGUCGGUUGGUGGGAUUUUAGGGUCAAUCGUUGGGAUUUUGGGGUUGUUGGGGUUUUGGGGUCGGUUGGUGGGAUUUUGGGGUCAGCUGUUCGGAUUUUGGGGUCAAUCGUUGGGGUUUUGGGGUCGUUUGUUGGGGUUUUGGGGUCAGUUGUUGGGAUUUUGGGGUCAAUGGGAUUUUGGGGGCCUCUUCUUGAGCUUUUAGGGUCAAUUGUUGGGAUUUUGGGGUUUUUCGUUGGGGUUUUGGGGUCAACUCUCGGGGUUUGGGGGUCGGUUGUUGGGAUGUUGGGGUCAAUUCCUGAGAUUUUGGGGUCAAUCAUUGGGAUUUUGGGGUCAAUCAUUCAGAUUUUGGGGGCCUCUUCUUGGGGUUUUGGGGUCAAUUGUUGGGAUUUCAGGGCCGGUUGUUCAGAUUUUGGGGUUGUUCCGUGUUUUAUGGGGUCACCCCAUUAAUUUUUGGGGUGAAUUCUGCCCCUUUCAGCUCCCAUCCCCCAAACCUUGGCAGUUUACAUUUCCAACAUUUAUUCCAUUUUGGGGCAUUUCUGCAGCUUUUAGGGCCCCCCCCGCCCCAAAAAUCUUCUGGGAGUCCCCCCCAAUUUUGGGGGCAGAUUCCCAUUUUUGGGGCCCCCUCCAGAUAUUUUUUUGGGGGGGGUUCCCAUGUUUUGGGGUCCCAUUUCUGCAGGGGGGGGUCCCACAUUUGGGGGGUUCUUGGGAUUCUGGGGGGGGUCCCACAUUCUGAGGGGUCCCUGCCAUUUUGGGGGGAGUUCCCCAGUUUUUGGGAUCCCCCCCAUAAUCUUGGGACCCCCCCGGAUUUUGGAAGGGGGUCCCCAAUUCUGGGGGGAUCCCCAAUUUCUGGGGGGAUCCUUCAGUUUCUGGGGGGGGUCCCCAAAGUUUGGUUGAUCUCCUCGUUUCUGUGGGGGGGUCCCCAAUUUCUGGGGGGAUUUUCCAAAUAUUGGGCCCCCCCCAAAUACUUUGGGACCCCCCCAGAUUUUGGAAGGGGGUCCCCAAUUCUAGGGGGGGUCCCCAAUUUCUGGGGCAAUCCUUUUGUUUCUGUAGGGGGGUCCCCAAUGUUUGGCUGAUCUCCCAGUUCCUGUGGGGGGGUCCCCAGUUCUUGGGGGGUGGAUUUUCCAGCUCUUGUGACCCCCCCCUCAUAU